rnacentral:rRNA from 1 species
AAUGAACGCUGGCGGCGCGCCUAAUACAUGCAAGUCGAGCGAGAAGACGUAGCAAUACGUUUGUAAAGCGGCGAACGGGUGAGGAAUACAUGGGUAACCUACCCUCGAGUGGGGAAUAACUAGCCGAAAGGUUAGCUAAUACCGCGUACGCUCCUUGGACUUCGGUUCAGGGAGGAAAGCGAUACCGUGGGUAUCGCGCUCUUGGUUGGGCUCAUGUCCUAUCAGCUUGUUGGUGAGGUAACGGCUCACCAAGGCUUCGACGGGUAGCUGGUCUGAGAGGACGAUCAGCCACACUGGCACUGCGACACGGGCCAGACUCCUACGGGAGGCAGCAGUAAGGAAUAUUGCGCAAUGGGCGAAAGCCUGACGCAGCGACGCCGCGUGGGGAUGAAGUC